rnacentral:misc_RNA from 1 species
GUGAGUCAUCGAAUCUUUGAACGCACAUUGCGCCCUUUGGCAUUCCGAAGGGCAUACCUGUUCGAGCGUCAUUAUCACCCCUCAAGCCCUCUGGCUUGGUGUUGGACGGUCGGUGAAGGAGACUUCACCCCUCCCAAAGACAAUGACGGCGGCUUCGUUUGACCCCCGGUACACUGAGUUCUUUACUGAACACGUAUCGGAUACAUGGGUCGACGGGCACGGUCUGCCUCCCCGGUGGGGAGAACUUUUUUCAAGGUUGACCUCGGAUCAGGUAGGAAUACCCGCUGAACUUAAGCAUAUCAAUAAGCGGAGGA